rnacentral:rRNA from 1 species
CGGGACACGUGGUAUCCUGUCUGAAUAUGGGGGGACCAUCCUCCAAGGCUAAAUACUCCUGACUGACCGAUAGUGAACCAGUACCGUGAGGGAAAGGCGAAAAGAACCCCGGCGAGGGGAGUGAAAAAGAACCUGAAACCGUGUACGUACAAGCAGUGGGAGCACGCUUAGGCGUGUGACUGCGUACCUUUUGUAUAAUGGGUCAGCGACUUAUAUUCUGUAGCAAGGUUAACCGAAUAGGGGAGCCGAAGGGAAACCGAGUCUUAACUGGGCGUUAAGUUGCAGGGUAUAGACCCGAAACCCGGUGAUCUAGCCAUGGGCAGGUUGAAGGUUGGGUAACACUAACUGGAGGACCGAACCGACUAAUGUUGAAAAAUUAGCGGAUGACUUGUGGCUGGGGGUGAAAGGCCAAUCAAACCGGGAGAUAGCUGGUUCUCCCCGAAAGCUAUUUAGGUAGCGCCUCGUGAAUUCAUCUCCGGGGGUAGAGCACUGUUUCGGCAAGGGGGUCAUCCCGACUUACCAACCCGAUGCAAACUGCGAAUACCGGAGAAUGUUAUCACGGGAGACACACGGCGGGUGCUAACGUCCGUCGUGAAGAGGGAAACAACCCAGACCGCCAGCUAAGGUCCCAAAGUCAUGGUUAAGUGGGAAACGAUGUGGGAAGGCCCAGACAGCCAGGAUGUUGGCUUAGAAGCAGCCAUCAUUUAAAGAAAGCGUAAUAGCUCACUGGUCGAGUCGGCCUGCGCGGAAGAUGUAACGGGGCUAAACCAUGCACCGAAGCUGCGGCAGCGACGCUUAUGCGUUGUUGGGUAGGGGAGCGU